CUUGAGUUUGACAUUGAAACCGGGAAACUUCAAGUUCAAGUUAAUUACGACCCAAGACAAAUAUACAAAAUUUAAAACAAUCGUUACGUACCACAAUAUUUAAGGCUUGGCUAUAUGUUUUUGACAAGUACUGGGCCCUAGGCAUCGCUAUUAGCCUGGUACAUCCAAUCAAGUACGAUAGUCAAUAGAGUCCUCGCAAAACAAAACAAAUGCAAAACAAUCACUGCUCAUUACUCAAAAUUUCCAAUCAGCAUACAUUGAAAAAGCAUUAACUAAUAAUACCUAAUUGACUUUAGUUUGAAAUCAAACCCGAUAAUCAAUAGCAAUAAUCCUCGCAAAACAAAACGAAUAGAAAACAGUCACUAGUUAUUACUCAAAAGUUCUAAUCAGAAAAAUUUGAAAUAGACAAACUACAACAUAUGGCAUUGUCUAAUAAUACCUAAUUAACUUGAUCUUGAAAUUGAACCCGGGAAACUUCAAGUUCAAGUUAAUUACGACCCAAGACAAAUAUACAAAAUUUAAAACAAUCGUUACGUACCUAAAUAUUUAAAGGCUUGGCGAUAUGUUUUUGACAAGUCCUGGGCCCUAGGCAUCGCUAUUAGCGGGGUACGUCCAAUCAAGUUCGAUAGUCAAUAGCAUUUGUCCUCGCAAAACAAAACAAAUGCAAAACAGUCACUGCUCAUUACUCAAAAAUUUCAAUCAGCAUACAUUGAAAAAGUAUUAACUAAUAAUACCUAAUUAACUUGAGUUUGAAACCAAACCCGAUAAUCAAUAGCAAUAAUCCUCGCAAAACAAAACGAAUAGAAAACAGUCACUAGUUAUUACUCAAAAGUUCAAAUCAGAAAAAUUUGAAAUAGAAAACUACAAAAUAUGCAUGAUCUAGACUACCUAAUUAACUUGACCUUCUUCUUCCAAUCCUUUUUCGGGAAAAUUGAAACCGGAAAACUUUUUAAGUUCAAGUUGUAAUACGCAAAGUCAAAUAUAAACAAUUAAAAACAAUCUAUUACUAUUCUCAAAUAGUUAAAGGCUUGGAGAAUGUUUUUAGAGAGUUUGGGCUAGACAUCACAAUUAGCAAGGGACAUCCCAAUCAAAUCCGUGAUAGUCCAAUGCAUUAGUACUCGCAAAUAAAACCCCCCCAAUGAAACAGUCAUGCUCAUUAUCAAAAAUCCAUCAGCAUACAUUGAAAAAGCUUAAUAUAAUACCUAAUAAACUUGAGUUUGAAAUCAAACACGAUAAUCAAAUAACUUUAAUCCUGCAAACAAACGAUAGAAAAAUAGUCACUAGUUAUACUCAAAAGUUCUAAUCAGAAAUUGAAAAGACAAACUAAACAUAUGCAAUGGUCUAUAAUAUCUAAUAACUUGAUCUCUGAAAUUGAACCCGUGGAAACUUCAAGUUCAAGUUAACUUACGACCCAAGACAAAUAUACAAAAUUUAAAAUAUCGUACAUACCUAAAUAUUUUAAAGGCUUGGCAAUAUUUUUUGGAACAAGUCCUGGUCCCUGGGCAUCGCUAUAUAGCGGGGUACGUCCAAUCAAGUCGAUAGUCAAUAGCUAUAAUACUCGCAAAAACAAAAGAAUAGAAAAUAGUAAUAGUUAUUACAUCAAAAGUUUAAUCAGAAAAAAUGGAAAUAGACAAACUACAACAUAGGGAUAUCUAAUAAUUACACUAAUUAACUUGAGCUUGAAAUUGAACCCGGAAAACGUCAAGUUCAAGUAAUUACGGCCCAAGACAAAUAUAAAAAACUAAAAACAAAAUUUUCGUUACGUACACUAAAUAUUUAAAGGCUUGGAGAUAUGUUUUUGAGAAGUCUUGGGCCUAGACAUUACUAUUAGCACGGUACGUCCAAUCAAAUCCGAUAGUCAAUAGCAUUAGUCCUCGCAAAACAAAACAAAUGCAAAACAAUCACUGCUCAUUACUCAAAAAUUCCAAUCAGCAUACAUUGAAAAAGCAUUAACUAAUAAUACCUAAUUAACUUGAGUUUGAAAUCAAACCCGAUAAUCAAUAGCUAUAAUCCUCGCAAAACAAAACGAAUAGAAAAUAGUCACUAGUUAUUACUCAAAAGUUCUAAUCAGAAAAAUUUGAAAUAAACAAACUACAACAUAUGGCAUUGUCUAAUAAUAUCUAAUUAACUUGAUCUUGAAAUUGAACCCGGGAAACUUCAAGUUCAAGUUAAUUACGACCCAAGACAAAUAUACAAAAUUUAAAACAAUCGUUACAUACCUAAAUAUUUAAAGGCUUGGCGAUAUGUUUUUGACAAGUCCUGGUCCCUGGGCAUCGCUAUUAGCGGGGUACGUCCAAUCAAGUUCGAUAGUCAAUAGCUAUAAUCCUCGCAAAACAAAACGAAUAGAAAAUAGUUACUAGUUUACUCAAAAGUUCUAAUCAGAAAAAUGAAAUAGGCCAACUACAACAUAUGGCAUAUCUAAUAAUACAUAAUAACUGAGAUUAAAAUUGAACCUGGAAAAAAACUUCAGUUCAAGUUAAUGACGGCCCAAGACAAAUAUAAAACAAUAGGUAUAAAAAACCAAUCGUUAUCGUACCUUAAAUAUUUAAAGGCUUGGAGAUAUGUUUUUGAGAAGUCUGGGGCCAUAGACAUCACUAGUAGGCCGGACGUACGUCCAAUCAAAUCCGAUAGUCAACAGAAGCCUCGCCAAAACAAAACAAAUGCAAAAACAAUCACGGCUCAUUACUCAAAAAUUUUCAAUCAGCACCAAUUGAAAAAAGCAUUAACUAAUAAUACCUACUUGACUUUGAUCGAAAUCAAACCCCAUAAUAAUAGCAAUAAUCCUCGCAAAACAAAACGAUAAAAACAGCACUACUUUUACUAAAAGUUCAAAUCUAGAAAAUUUGACGAAAUAGACAAAACUACACAUAUGGCAUUGUCUAAUAAUACCUAAUUAACUUGACCUGAAUGAAUUUGAACCCGGAAGGAAAACUUCAAGUUCAAGUAAUUACGGGCCCAGACAAAAUAUAAAAAAAAUUAAAAACAAUCUUACGUACCUAAAAUUUAAAGCUUGGAGAUAUGUUUGAGAAGUCUUGGGCCCUAGAACAUCACUAGUAGCACGGUACGUCCAAUCAAAAUCAGAUAGUCAACAGAGUCUCGCACAAAACAAAAACAAAUUGCAAACACCACUGCCAUACUCAAAUUUGCAAUCAGGCACACCAUGUGAAAAAGCAUUAACUAAUAAUACCUAAUUGACUUUUGAUCGAAAUCAAACCCGAUAAUAAUAGCAAUAAUCCUCGCAAAACAAAACGAAUAGAAAACAGUCACUAGUUAUUACUUAAAAGUUCAAAUCAGAAAAUUUUGAAAUAGACAAACUACAACAUAUGGCAUUGUCUAAUAAUACCUAAUUAACUUGACCUUGAAAUUGAACCCGGAAAACUUCAAGUUCAAGUUAAUUACGGCCCAAAGACAAAUAUAAAAAAUUAAAAACCAAUCGUUUUAGUUUACGCAAAAUAUUUAAAGCUUGGAGAUAUGUUUUUUGAGAAGUCUUGGCCUUAGGGACAUCACUAUUAGCAAGGUACGUCCAAUCAAAUCCGAUAGUCAAUCAGCAUUUAGUCCUCGCCAAAACAAAAAAAUGCAAAACAGUCACUACUCAUAAUCAAAAAUUCCAAUCGCAUACAUUGAAAAAGCAUUAACUAACAAUACCUAAGUAACUGAGUUUGAAAUCUCAAACACGAUGGGAAUCAUAGCAAUAUCUCGGCAAAACAAAACGAAUAGAAAAGUCAUAGUUAUUACUCAAAAAUUCUAAUAAGAAAAAUUUUGAAAUAAACAAACUACAACAAUGGCAUUGUCGAAUAAAAAAAUAUCUAAAUUAACCUGAUCUUGAAAUUGAACCCGGGAAGGAAACUUCAAGUUCAAGGUUAAAAUUACGACCCAAAGACAAAAAUACAAAAUUUAAAACAAUCGUUACAUACCUAAAUAUUAAAGGGGGGGGGGGGGGGGGGGGGGACUUGGCGAAAUUUUGACAAGUCCUGGUCCCUGCGGGCAAUCGCUCUUAGCGGGGUACGUCAAUAAAGUUCGAUAGUCAAUAGGCUUUGUCCUCGCAAAACAAAACAAAAGCAAACAGCCACUGCUCAUUACUCAAAAAUUUCAAUCAGUUACAUUGAAAAAGUAUUAACAAAUAAUACCUAAUUGACUUUAGAUCGAAAUCAAACCCGAUAAUAAUAGCAAUAAUCCUCGCAAAACAAAACGAAUAGAAAAUAGUCACUAGUUAUUACUCAAAAAUUCUAAUCAGAAAAAUUUGAAUAGACAAACAAACAUAUGGCUUGUAUAAUAAAUCUAAUUAACGAUCUUGAAAUUGAACCCGGGAAACUGCAGCUUCAGUUAUACGACCAAGGACAAAUAUACAAAAUUUAAAACAAUCGUUACAUACCUAAAUAUUUAAAGCUUGGCGAUAUGUUUUCGACAAGUAUGGUCCUAGGAUCGCAUUAGCGGGUACGUCCAAUCAAGUUGUAGGCAAUAGCAUUUGUCUCGCAAAACAAAACAAAGCAAAACAGUCACGCCUCAUUACUAAAAAAAUUUCAAUCAGCAUACAUUGAAAAGUAUAACAAAUAAUACCUAAUGUGAAUUAGUCGAAAUCAACCCGAUAAUAAUAGAAAUAAAAUUCUCGCAAAACAAAACGAAUAGAAACAUUCACUAGAGUUAUCACUCAAAAGUACAAAUCAGAAAAUUUUGAAAAUUGAAAUAGACAGAACAUACAACAUAGGCAUUGUCUUAAUAAUACCUAAUUAACUUGACCUGGAAAUUGACCGGGAAACUUCAAGUUCAAGUUAAUACAGGCCCAAGACAAAUAUAAAAAAUUAAAAACAUAGUUAAGUACUCAAUAUUUGAAGAUUGGAGAUAUGUUUGAGAAGUCUGGGCCUAGACAUCACUAUUAGCACGGUACGUCCAAUCCAAAUACGAAGUAAAUAGCAUUAGUCCUCGCAAAACAAAACAAAUGUAAACAAUCACUGCUCAUUACUCAAAAUUUCGAAUCAGCCACACAUUGAAAAAGUCAUUUUAAAAUAAUAAACCUAAUUGACUUUAGACGAAAGCAACCCGAUAAUAAUAGCAAUAAUCUCGCAAAACAAAACGAAUAGAAAACAGUCAUAGUUAUUACUCAAAAAUUCUAAUAGAAAAAUUUGAAAUAGACAACCAGACAGAAUAUUGGCUUGUCUAAUAAUACUAUAACUUGAGUUGAAAUGGAACCCGGAAAACUUCAAGUUCAAUUAAUUACGGACCAAGACAAAUCUAAAAAAAUUAAAAAAACCAAUCGUACGUUACCUAACUAUUUAACGGCUUGGAGAUUCAUUGUUUUUGACGAAAGUCUUUGGGCCUAGACAUCACUAUUCGCACGGUACGUCCAAUCAAAUCCGAUAGGUCAAUAGAUCCUCGCAACAAACAAAACAAUACAAAACAUAACUGUCAUAUCAAAAUUUCAAUCAGCACACCUUGAAAAGCAUUAACUAAUAAUAACUAAUUGACUUUAGAUCGAAAUCAAACCGAUAAUAAUAGCAAUAAUCCUACGCAAAACCAAAACGAAUAUAGAAAACAGUCACAGAGCACUAGUUAUACUGUUCAAAAGUUCAAAUCAGAAAAAUUUGAAAUAGACAAACUACAACAUAUGGCAUUGUCUAAUAAUACCUAAUUAACUUGAUCUUGAAAUUGAACCCGGGAAACUUCAAGUUCAAGUUAAUUACGACCCAAGACAAAUACACAAAAUUUAAAACAAUCGUUACGUACCACAAUAUUUAAAGGCAUGGCGAUAUGUUUUUGACAAGUCCUGGGCCCUAGGCAUCGCUAUUAGCGGGGUACGUCCAAUCAAGUUCGAUAGUCAAUAGCAUUUGUCCUCGCAAAACAAAGCAAAUGCAAAACAUGCACUGCUCAUUACUCAAAUUAAUCAGCGACAUGAAAAAGUAUUAACUAAUAAUACCUAAUUAACUUUAGUUGAAACCAAACCCAGAUAAUAAUCAAUAGCCAAUAAUCUCGCCAAAACAAAAACGAUAGAAAACAGUACACUAGUUAUUACUCAAAAAUUCUAAAGCAGAAAAAUUAAACUAAAAUAGACCAACUACAACAUAUGGACAUUGUCUAAUAAUACCUAAUUAACUUGCUUGAAAUUAAACCGGGAACUUCAAGUUCAAGUAAUUAAGGCCCCCAAAACAAAUACAAAACAAUCAAUGACCUCAUUACUCAAAGAUUCCAAUCAGCAUACAUUGAAAAAGCAUUAACUAAUAUACUAAUUGACUUUCGAUUGAAAUCAAACCCGAUAAUACUAGCAAUAAUCCUCGCAAAACAAAACGAAUUAGAAAACAGUCGUCACUAGUUAUUACUCCAAAGUACAAAAAAUCAGGAAAAUUUUGAAAUAGACAAACUUACAACAGAUGGCAUUGCUAAUAAACCUAAUUAACUUGAUCUUUGAAAAUGCACCCGGGAGGAAACGGAAAACUUCACGUUCAAGUUAAUUACGAACCAGAGACAAAAUAUUUUGGUUUAACAAAAAUUUAAAACAAUCGUUACGUACCACAAUAUUAAGCAAUAACACACCACACAUGGCGAUUAUAUGUUUGAACAAGUCCUGCGCCCUAGGCAUCGCUAUUAGCGGGGUACGUCCAAGCAAGUGACGAUAUCAUAGCAUUUGUUCGCGCCAAAACAAAGCAAAAUGACGCAAAAAAACUGCACAACUGCGCUCAUUACUCAAAAAUUUCAAUCAGCAUACAUUGAAAAAGUAUUAACUAAUAAUACCUAAUUAACUUUAGUUUGAAACCAAACCCGAUAAUCAAUAGCAAUAAUCCUCGCAAAACAAAACGAAUAGAAAACAGUCACUAGUUAUUACUCAAAAAUUCUAAGAAGAAAAAUUUGAAAUAGACAAACUACAACAUAUGGCAUUGUCUAAUAAUACCUAAUUAACUUGAUCUUGAAAUUGAACCCGGGAGGGAAUUCACGUUCAAGUUAAUUAUAACCCAAGACAAUAUAACCAAUUUUAAAACAUCGUACUACCUAAAUAUUUAAAUGCUUUGGCGAUAUGUUUUUGACAGUCCUGGUCCCUGGGCAUCGCUAUUAGCGGGGUACGUCCAAUCAAGUUCGAUAGUCAAUAGCUAUAAUCCUCCGCAAAACAAACGAACAGAAAAUAGUUACUAGUUAUACUCAAAAGUUCUAAUAUCAGAAAAAUUUGAAAUAUACAACUACAACAUAUGCAAUUAUGUAUAAUCCUCAUUACUGAGCUGGAAAUUGAACCUGGAAACCUUCAAGUUCAAGUUAAUUACGGCCCAAGAAAAAUAUAAAAAAUUAAAAACAAUCGUUACGUACCUAAAUAUUUAAAGGCUUGGAGAUAUGUUUUGAGAAGUCUUGGGCCUAGACAUCACUAUUAGCACGGUACGUCCAAUCAAAUCCGAUAGUCAACAGAGUCCUCGCAAAACAAAACAAAUGCAAAACAAUCACUGCUCAUUACUCAAAAUUUUCAAUCAUCACACAUUGAAAAAGCAUUAACUAAUAAUACCUAAUUGACUUUUGAUCGAAAUCAAACCCGAUAAUAAUAGCAAUAAUCCUCGCAAAACAGAAACGAUAGAAACAGUCACCAGUUAUUACUUAAAGUUAAUAGAAAAUUUUGAAAUGACAAAUGGCAUUGUCUAAUAAUACCUAAUUAAACUUGACUUGAAAUUGACCCCGUACAAACACCAUUCAGUUCAAGUUAAUUACGGCCCAAGUCAAAUAUAAAAAGUUAAAAACAAUCGUUACGUACCUCAAUAUUUAAAGCUUGGAGAUAUGUUUUUGAGAAGUCUUGGGCCUAGACAUCACUAUUAGCACGGUACGUCCAAUCAAAUCCGAUAGUCAAUAGCAUUAGUCCUCGCAAAAUAAAACAAAUGCAAAACAGUCACUACUCAUUACUCAAAAAUUCCAAUCAGCAUACAUUGAAAAAGCAUUAACUAACAAUACCUAAUUAACUUGAGUUUGAAAUCAAACACGAUAAUCAAUAGCAAUAAUCCUCGCAAAACAAAACGAAUAGAAAAUAGUCACUAGUUAU
rnacentral:lncRNA from 1 species